GACGAACGCUGGCGGCGUGCUUAACACAUGCAAGUCGAACGGAAAGGCCCUUCGGGGUACUCGAGUGGCGAACGGGUGAGUAACACGUGGGUGAUCUGCCCUGCACUUUGGGAUAAGCCUGGGAAACUGGGUCUAAUACCGGAUAGGACCACGGCAUUCAUGUGCUGUGGUGGAAAGCUUUUGCGGUGUGGGAUGGGCCCGCGGCCUAUCAGCUUGUUGGUGGGGUAAUGGCCUACCAAGGCGAUGACGGGUAGCCGGCCUGAGAGGGUGACCGGCCACACUGGGACUGAGAUACGGCCCAGACUCCUACGGGAGGCAGCAGUGGGGAAUAUGGCACAAUGGGCGCAAGCCUGAUGCAGCGACGCCGCGUGAGGGAUGACGGCCUUCGGGUUGUAAACCUCUUUCGCCAGGGACGAAGCGCAAGUGACGGUACCUGGAGAAGAAGGACCGGCCAACUACGU
rnacentral:rRNA from 1 species